AAACGAUCCCAUUGUAUUCCACACUGUAUGUGGCAUAGCUUCUGUUCCUAUCUCUGCUUUACAGAUGAGGAAACUGAAGCCUGCAGAGGAGAAGGAUUGCCUUGCAGUGCCUGCAAGAGUUUCAUGUGAAUUCACUCUUCUCUUCAGCCUUAGCACUAAGCUGCACUACGUAAAGAGAGAUCCUGAUAAUUUUGAAAUAGGAUUGAUCUUCUUUGAAAUGAAAAUCCAAUUUUAAAACUGACUGAAGGCCGAUCCUAAAAUAAAGAAUGUGUAUCGUCAAUCAGCACAUAGCAAACAGCACUACUGU